GCUGGAUGGAUCAGAACAGCAAUGUGUGUUGCUGGAAAACCCAAUAUCUUCCACCGACCACUGCGCUAGGCAGUCAAGCUUUUGAAACCUUCGCAUUUUUUAUUUUGAUCGCCCAUUUUUGUUUUAUUUUCAUAUGUACAUCAUAAACCAUGACUUUAGCACUGGAAGAAGUUGAGAGAGCCCCACUCGACUGCAUGCCUUCCUGAUAAUAUUUAACUCCUGUUAACAUGGUACCAUUUGGCCACUAAGAAAUCUUGAGAUUUGAAGCAGCAACGAUAGAGCCCAAUUAUAUGUCCAUGGCUCGUGAGUUUAUAAUCAUAUUUAUUUAAUUAUACUUCAUUGAAAUUGGAGAAAGCAAUUAUAGAAUAUAAGAUAAAACAUUGGCAGUGUGGCAUUGCAGCUUAAUUAUUUUUCCAAGGUCUCUGUGAGACAUUCAGCAUGAACGAACUGUGCGUGUAAAAAGAAGCCGCCCUGACUUUUUGGGUCUGGACGUGUUGCAGGUAUCUUGGGAUAUCUAAUAAAGUUGUAAUGUUAUUUUCAGUACUGUUUCUAUAAAGAGCAGUUUGCUAUUGCUAUAUGCCUUGGCCUAAAAAAUAUCCUUUUUUCGGCCAUUACAAUAUUUUUAGUGCUGUUUCUAUAAAUAAGGGAAACUAUUGCUAUAUGACCCUUAGCCUAAAAAUAUUCAUUUUUUUCCACGAAAUAUUUUCAGUGCUGUUUGUAUAUAAAGGGCAGCUCGCUAUAUUGCUAUAUGCCUUAGCCUAAAAAUUACGUACUACACUGCCAUGUUUUUCAGUGCUGUUUCUAUAAAGGGCAGCUAUUGCUAUCACUAUAUGUUUUAGCUCAAAAAUAAACUGUGCUGUUUAUAAGAUGUCAUUUCUAUAUGAUUGACAACCAGGUACUAUUUCAUUUUCCAAUAUUUCCUAGUGCUGUUUCUAUAAAGGGCAGCUAGUGCUGUCACUAUAAUAUGUUUUAGCUCAAAACUAAACUGUGCUGUUUAUAAGAUGUCAUUUCUAUAUGAUUGACAUCCAGGUAUACUAUUUCAAUAUUUCCUAGUGCUGUUUCUAUAAAGGGCAGCUAUUGCUAUCAUACGUUUUCGCUAUUAAAAAUAUUGACUGUUUGCACUGUUUACAGUGUUCUAAAACUGCAAAAAGUAGCUACAAGUCUGUUGCUCUUGUGGCAGAAUGGUGUCUUGUAUUAAAAGAGGUAUCUCAAUAGGAUUUGCACGUCUUAUAGUAUUUACAAGUGCAGUAUAGGUCUCUUAGGUUUUAGUUUAAGACCAACAUGAGCGAGUGAGAUAAACUCGACCAGCUUAGGUUAAGGCUUCAAGCGUGAAAUCACGCACUAGGCCCCUCAGAAUCCCACCCAAACCUUGUUUCAACGCAAAAUAUGAAAAUAUCCCCACCUUACCACAUCGUUGAAGAACAAUGGUGGAUAUCUUGGGCAAAUGUGCAAUCUCAUGAGGGGAUAUCUUGGGCAAAUGUGCAUUAUUAAAGAUGUAUUGGUACUAUUAAUAACCUCGUAAGUGGAAUUGUAGGGCAAUCAUACACCGGGGAGUGAUUGCUCGAUACUGAAGAAAGAAGACGUCGUAAGGUUUGUGGAUUUUGAUAAAUGCGGGCGUGGGCCCAGCGGUUAACAUAAAAGAAUGGUGACUAGCCGGAAACAUGUUGGAUUAUUACAAUAUGGCGAAAGCAAAAAAUAAGUUUCAUAAAUUGCAAAAAAAACCAGAAAAAAAUAAGGCUAUA
rnacentral:lncRNA from 1 species